rnacentral:rRNA from 1 species
UACGUAGGGUGCGAGCGUUGUCCGGAUUUAUUGGGCGUAAAGAGCUCGUAGGCGGUUUGUCGCGUCGGCCGUGAAAUCUCCACGCUUAACGUGGAGCGUGCGGUCGAUACGGGCAGACUUGAGUUCGGUAGGGGAGACUGGAAUUCCUGGUGUAGCGGUGAAAUGCGCAGAUAUCAGGAGGAACACCGGUGGCGAAGGCGGGUCUCUGGGCCGUAACUGACGCUGGAGGAGCGAAAGCCGUGGGGAGCGAACAGG